ACCGGUUCAUCCCGCCGGGUAUCCGGUUUGCAAAAAUACACCGUUCUGCUCAGCGAUAAGGCUCGGCAGGCGUGACGGAUGCUCAUCGAAUACUGUUCGAUAAGAUAGCUGACAAGCUCCCGCUUUACCGCUGUUUUU
rnacentral:sRNA from 1 species